rnacentral:misc_RNA from 1 species
GAAACUCUCUCAACCUGCAAAAGUGGGAGAAUUUGCAGAAUUGGUAAUCAUGACAUUAUCAUCAACACAGUUCUAGAAAUGUGCAAGAUCAUCAGACAAAUAGAACAAAGGCCAAACAGGAAGUCAAAUACAUUCUGAUAAGAGUGAAUUUAACUUGACCCAUUCGUCUCCUGGUUUUCAGACUGAUUUCAUUCCUAAAACGUACUGUUGAUUUGAGGCCCAGAAAGGACCGUAAACCAACAUCCCAAGGUUUUUAAACCCAGCCUGGUCAUUGAACUGGUGAAAGUAGAGACAUUCAAGGUUCAACUAGGGUCGAACUAAGGUUUAUUU